AGGGUGUAAACGCUGCAGACUUGGUGUUGGGAACCCUUCGGGGUGCUCAGUGCCGGAGAGAAGUUGUUAAGUCUGCUACUUGGGAGUACGUCCGCAAGGAUGAAACUUAAAGGAAUUGGCGGGGGAGCACCGCAACGGGAGGAGCGUGCGGUUUAAUUGGAUUCAACACCGUAAAACUCACCAGGGAAGACUGUUACAUGAAGGCCGAGAUGAAGACUCUGCUAGAUUUUCAGAGAGGAGGUGCAUGGCGUCAGUGACU
rnacentral:rRNA from 1 species